rnacentral:lncRNA from 1 species
CUUAUUUCUCAUUGGUCAGAGACUCAACCAUUAUAAGAAAUUUUUAUUAUCUAAACUAUCAUACGUAAAGAUCAAGUCUCAUACUCAACUCUUAUCAAACUAUCAAACUAAACAAUCAAGAACAAGCAACCAUACGUAAGAGACGAUCAAGAACAAGCAACCAUCCACGCAUAGACAAUCAAGUACUAGUAACCUAUUACCUAAAUUCUAUCAGCUAUAAGAACACAACAACACUACAACACAAGAAACAAAAAGAUCUAUGUACUAGUAACCUAUUACCUAAAUUCUAUCAGCUAUAAGAACACAAGAACACAACAAUACAAGAAACAAAGAGAUCUAUGUACUAGUAACCAAGUAUCUAAAUUCUAUCAGCUCUUAUUAUAAGCAAUGGAGACGACAUAAUAAAUAAAUAGAACAGAGACUAAC